rnacentral:rRNA from 1 species
AACUAACGCUGGCGGCGUGCCUAACACAUGCAAGUCGUACGAGAAAGCCGGCUUCGGCUGGUGAGUAAAGUGGCGCACGGGUGAGUAACGCGUGGAUAAUCUGCCCUUAAGUGUGGAAUAACGUACCGAAAGGUGCGCUAAUACCGCAUAAUGCCUGGCAACACAAGUUGUCCGGCCAAAGAAGGCCUCUGUUUACAAGCUUUCGCUUCAGGAUGAGUCCGCGUACCAUUAGCUUGUUGGUGGGGUAAUGGCCUACCAAGGCUGCGAUGGUUAGCUGGUCUGAGAGGAUGAUCAGCCACACUGGAACUGAGACACGGUCCAGACUCCUACGGGAGGCAGCAGUGAGGAAUAUUGCGCAAUGGGGGCAACCCUGACGCAGCAACGCCGCGUGGAGGAUGACGGCCUCGGUUGUAACUACUGUCAGAAGGACGAAAGUACCGCAAGGGACGUGACGGUACCGUUCAGAGGAAACCCGGACGUAACUACGUGCCAGCAGCCGC